rnacentral:lncRNA from 1 species
CCCUGAUAUGGUCUGACUGGGAAAGAAUACAUUAGCCUCUGUCCUAUUCCUGGGGGCUCUGCCUCUCUCUAUCCAGGUUACCUCUCGAUAAGCCGGACCACAGAGGAAGCAGGGAGGGCAGUGCCACCCUGGCAAACAAGCUCUGUGGGGCCACAUACACACACACACACCAGGCACAUGAGGACAGCCGCCUUUGAUCCAGUGACCCUCCUGGGCUUGCCCAACCUGCUUCGGCAUAACCAUUUACCCAGCCCAGCCAAUAGCAGCCUCCAAGUCUAAGCUAGUCCCGAGGGUCAAGCCAAUGAGGCCAGCAGUUCUGGGGAAGGGGGCAGGCCUGCUGGGGAGUGGUGCUGGAGGUUUCCACUUGUUUGGGGGCCUGAGGAGAGGCAAAGUGUCAGGCCAGUCUAUCAUAAAAGGAGGGCUGCAAAGAUUCAGCUGACCGGCCUGUGCUCUUUGGAUGGACAGGUCCACAGCUGCAUCUGCUUAUGGACAUCUGACUUCACCUUACCUGCCCUGUACCCUGCCUCCCUCCCGCUGCCCUUCCCAUGCUCCACCCCCAACAUGCUCAGGAAGCCAUUAGGAGGUGGCUCACAUGCCCUACCUUGAACCUUGGCCACUGUCGGGAUGUUGACCUGACCGUAUGGACCAGCGCCUUUCUGAUCGAGCAUUCCAAUUACUGCUCAGGGCACCACCCCCAUCCCGGUCCUACCGGCCCGACUUGUGCCUUUGCCCUUGGGCCUCUUCCCAAGUACAGUAAGAAGGACAUCUUCGGUGGAACAGCUGGACCAGGAGAGACAUUGAGACCUUACCUUCAUGGUGGGGGCACCAUUAAGAAAAAGAGCCCCCAGGCCUGUUGUGUGAGUUGUCCUGGUUACCUAUGUGCCUUGCCCCUGUGCCUUUCUACUACUGCAUGAGCCCAUUCUUCCCACUGAGGCUGUGCAUAUUGGUGGGAGACAGCACCCCAACUUGUACAAUGCCAUUUCAAUAAAUGCCUUUGCUUUGAGCUAAUUGC